GUGCUCACUUCGGCAGCACAUAUACUAAAAUUUUGAAUGAUACAGAGAUUAGCAUUGGCCCCUGCCCAAGGAUGCCACACAAAUUCGUGAAGUGUUCCAUAUUUUG
ensembl:snRNA U6 U6 spliceosomal RNA